GUUUGAGUGUGUGCUUGACAGUUAUAGGCUCGAGUCCCCGACUCCCUAUUAACUUGUUGCGUUGUUGUGUGCUUGGAAGCUGAUGUAAGUCCAUCGAGUGGCAUUUGGGUUCCAGUGUGCGUGUGUGUUUUGGUCGGAUGCUGAUGUAAGCCCAGUGAUUGGCAUUCAGGCUCCAUGUUUGCCUUCUUGAGCGCGUUUUGGUUCGGAUGCUGAUGUAAGUCCAGUGAUUGGCGUUCAGGCUCCAUGUUUGCCUUGCCUGUGUUUGUUUUGUGUGCGUGUCAGCCGAGCUACGAAUGCUCUGAUUCUUCUCUCGUCCGAGAAGAUACGUAUGCAUAGGAUGCGAUUCCUAGCGAGCAUGUGUC
rnacentral:lncRNA from 1 species